rnacentral:rRNA from 1 species
AACGAACGCUGGCGGCAUGCCUAACACAUGCCAGUCGAACGAGACCUUCGGGUCUAGUGGCGCACGGGUGCGUAACGCGUGGGAACCUGCCCUUAGGUUCGGGAUAACUCCCCGAAAGGGGUGCUAAUACCGGAUAAUGUCUUCGGACCAAAGAUUUAUCGCCUUUGGAUGGGCCCGCGUUGGAUUAGCUAGUUGGUAGGGUAAAAGCCUACCAAGGCGACGAUCCAUAGCUGGUCUGAGAGGAUGAUCAGCCACACUGGGACUGAGACACGGCCCAGACUCCUACGGGAGGCAGCAGUGGGGAAUAUUGGACAAUGGGCGAAAGCCUGAUCCAGCAAUGCCGCGUGAGUGAUGAAGGCCUUAGGGUUGUAAAGCUCUUUUACCCGGGAUGAUAAUGACAGUACCGGGAGAAUAAGCUCCGGCUAACUCCGUG